CCUUUGUUAAAACUAGUCUAUUUUAUCGUGCGUCGCUGCUUACCAAUUGAUUAGUCUGUAGUACAUAUUUGUUUACCCGUCAAUCAUAAUGUAUAUAGAGUUGGUAAUGCAAGUUAGGCUAUAUAUUUAUCUGUAUUAUUCGAAUAGGAAACUACAAUUGUGAAGAACGGAUGUCAACUAUUCAUAACUGUUAUUAAGCCUACAAAGUCUUAUUAACGAAACCUAGACUAUAAUAGGCGGGGACUGACAUUAACUAUUCCGACCCGAACCGAACAGUUUUCAAGUCUAAAAAAAGUCUUAAAAGCAAACUAAUUAAAUAAAAACCCAACCUAUUUAGUAUUUACUACCGAGGCGAACAGUUUCCACAGCUCCCCGAUCCUUUCGUUUUCUUUUAUAGCUUCGAGACUGAGGAGCAACAAUUGAAUACUCCUGCAACAGCUACUAUGCAUACUCCUUUUGUUGAAGUGGCAGAUUCAGCAAGUAGUUGAGUAGCAGCCUCCAUCGUUUCCUGCCCAUCCACAAACAAACACGAAUUUGCAAAACCAAAAUCUUCUCUUAAAAAUACAUCAAGGGAACAGAUCUCAAGCUCUAAUCAGAACCCAAAAAUGGAAAAAGAACUCAUAACUCAAAGACAGUAUUACCACCAAACAUACCUAUAAAAUGCAAAACUUUCUUCUAGUUUUGAUCAGCUCAAAAGUUCUCUUUGUUCUCAGUACUGAAACUGUCAAAGUUAAGAGAUGUAUAAUACUUUCCCACUAUACAAUCAGAAAACCAAACCUUCUCUUUAGACUUCCACCAUCAUGAACUCACGUUUCUCGUGUAAAUAUACUUCACAGGAGAUAAGAAUGGAAAAUCAGUGGUGAAUAUACCCUGGACAUAAGCUUGUAAUUCAAUGCCUGGCUAUGAUGGAGAUUAUAAGCUCAUUACUCUUUCCAUAAGCAAAAGUUGUUGAGUCUGCAAUGAGCCUACACACGUAUCACACACAGAUUAUAAAUGGCAACCAUCAUUCUGAUCACUGAUCCCUCUCGUAACUUAUCAAUACCCUUUUUAACAUACAACAUCCAUAUAGUUUAAUGAAGAAUUUUGAAACAGAGCCAAAGUUCAUGAGCUAAAUCAAAAGAAGCAAACGUGGAAAGCAAUAAAAGUAUGCAGUGUGAAGAACAAUACGUACACACUGGGAGAUCAGACCAACAUAGGUAGAUAUUUGAAACAAACCAAUAUCAUGAGUAAUUUCAGCCAAAUAACAACCUCAAAGUAGAAAAGGAAAAUGAAACAUGUGAUACCGAAGAUCAUACAACAUAUGAUAGACGUAAAGAGGAAGGAAUUGAGUCCCUACCUCUGAUUUGAGAUUCUUAAGCCGGGGAGAUGCUCUACCGUUAUGAUUCAGGGAUGGUUCCAUUCCACCCAUUGAUUCUCUACAUAACCACACAUCUUCUUCAAAUGGGUAUCUCAAACAAAAUAAAAUGAAUAGAAGAAAUAUUAACGGUUCAAUCAAACUGAUGACAUAAACAAUGAAACAAUAUCAAAUUCAUAAGUUUCUAGCAGAGAUGGCAGUAAUCAAAGUAUAUAUCUCAAAACAUGAACAUAGGGUCGCUAUUAACCAUAUAGGUUCAAAAGACGGCAAAAGAGCAUGCCAUAUGUGAAGCAGAGAGGUUAAAAUCCUACCUAUUUACACAAAAGGAAAUAUAGCAUGGAAGGCCACAUACCUGAUGUUGGUAUUUCUUACAACAAUCAAGUUGUUCCUGCAAUCACCAUCAGCAGCAAACACAUAUACAUCCUUAGGAUCUAAGCUUGAAAGGAUGAACGCAAAUUGAAUCCAAAAGACUGUGGAGGAACACGAGGACAAAAAGACUGGUUACAAAGGAUAGCGACAACUAAUUGAGAAAUCAUUAACAAAGUUAAUGAAACAAAGCUACAUGGGGAAGGAAGUGAAGAGAAAUAGAAGGGGAAUCAAACCUGAGAAAGACUGAGAGGGUUCAUAAGCAAAGAAUUGAUAGGCGUAUUUGAAUUCCUUUCCAAGCACGGAGCCUCUUGCUCAUACCUAUGAAACAAAAUAGACGUGUAUGAUCAAAUAGAAACGAACCCACUUCAAAACAAAAAGAAUAAGAACUAUUGAUGAGAAAUGAAAUGAAUUUACUUGACAACACAAUGUGACAAGUUUUGUAGUUGAAAGGCCAGAAUCCUUUAGGUGUCUCUGAU
rnacentral:lncRNA from 1 species